CUGAAAUCUCUGAAACCAGUCUUGCUAAACUGCUGAGGUUGGCCUUGACCUUGUGGUCCUCCUGCCUCAGUCUCUCAAGUUGAUGGAAUUCCAUGUUCGAGGAAAACAAGUUCUAUGCUGCAAAAUUUCUUUGAGGAUAAAGUAAGCUUGGAAUAAGGAAAACAGGUUCUGGACCACUGAACUACAUCCCAAGCCCUUUUCUUUUUUAUAUUGGGAGAGGAUGCCACCAAGUUGCCACGGUGGCCUUGACUUGCAGUACUCCUGACACAACCUCCUGAGCAGCAGAGAUUACAGGUGUAGAUGGACACAACACAAUGCCUUUAUUUUUAUG